rnacentral:rRNA from 1 species
UUCCGUUAGGGGUACCUGCGGAGGGAUCAUUACUGAGUGAGGGCCUUCGGGCUCGACCUCCAACCCUUUGUGAACACAACUUGUUGCUUCGGGGGCGACCCUGCCGUUUCGACGGCGAGCGCCCCCGGAGGCCUUCAAACACUGCAUCUUUGCGUCGGAGUUUAAGUAAAUUAAACAAAACUUUCAACAACGGAUCUCUUGGUUCUGGCAUCGAUGAAGAACGCAGCGAAAUGCGAUAAGUAAUGUGAAUUGCAGAAUUCAGUGAAUCAUCGAAUCUUUGAACGCACAUUGCGCCCCUUGGUAUUCCGAGGGGCAUGCCUGUUCGAGCGUCAUUUCACCACUCAAGCCUCGCUUGGUAUUGGGCGCCGCGGUGUUCCGCGCGCCUCAAAGUCUCCGGCUGAGCUGUCCGUCUCUAAGCGUUGUGAUUUCAUUAAUCGCUUCGGAGCGCGGGCGGUCGCGGCCGUUAAAUCUUUCACAAGGUUGACCUCGGAUCAGGUAGGGAUACCCGCUGAACUUAAGCAUAUCAAAAGGCCGGAGGAA